UGGAGGACAGGUGAAGACAGGUGUGGUCAUGGAGGACAGGUGGGGACAGGUGUGGUCAUGGAGGACAGGUGGGGACAGGUGUGGUCAUGGAGGACAGGUGUGGUCAUGGAGGACAGGUGUGGUCAUGGAGGACAGGUGAAGACA